GCUCUCCCCACACAAGAGGAUUUUGGUGUUUCUGUAUUAUACUAUUGAAAUGGAGAAUGUAUGUUUUUGAAAUGAUUGUAAAUUUGUUUUGGGUGCUUUAUUUAGAGAAGUUCAUUUUCGGGUUUGUAAAUGAGGAGCUUAUAUAUUUCGACAGUUGAUUACCUGGAAAUUAUUGUGUUAAAAAUGUCACCUAAUUUUUACAGAUCUUCAUAUUUGGGUGGGUGUUGGUACUAUGACAAUUGUAGUGUUUUUGGGUGGGCUUUGGUGCUAUCCCUUCAACUGAAUUCGUUUUUUUUUUGGAAUGGUAAUGCUAGCUAGUGGUUUUUUGCUUUUCUUUAUGCAAAUUCCAUCCGUAGUAGUCUUUUAAUUUGGGUUUUAUGUUUUAUCCUGAAGCAAAUUCCAGCCACAGUUACAUGUCCAUUGGAGAAAAUUGUUUCAUUUACAUUUGGGUAUAUUGCUACUUGCCAAUUCGAAUAUUAUUGUGAUGUGUUUUUUUCGUUGUUAUAUUAGAAUUCGUCGAUGGCUAGAAGAAAUAAGGGGUAUGUCAUUCAUGUAGACGGGUAGGACACAUGUUGCCAGAUUGUCCCUGAAAGAGAAGAUGUCCAAACUGUGGCCAAGGCUAUGUUAAAUGGAUGGAGAUGGAAAAGCAAAGCGAUAACAAAGGGCGUUUGUUCCAUCGUUGUACCUGUGAUGUAUGUCGAUUUUUCGAACUGGAAUAAAUCUCCUCUUGCCGCAGUAUAUCCCUUGCAAGAUGAAGGUCAAUCAAGUGGCAUCUCUAAUGGUAGUGAAGCCGUCGAUGAUUUGUCACAUAUGUUGGAAAUGUGUGCUAACAUAACCGAGAAAAAAGACAUUGAGAUCUUUCUCAACAUCAUAACAAUUCGAAAGGGACAACGGGAUUCGGAAGAUGUUCUAUGAACUUUGAUGUAAUGGGAUGGUUUAAGAAUAUUUAAUCUUCGGUGUCAUGCGUUAACUAAUGAUUUUGUAAAUGUUUCAAGACAGCUUGGAUCCAUAAAUUUCAGUAGGUU
rnacentral:lncRNA from 1 species